CAUUGUGCAGGGAGCAGUGCCGAGAAGCUUGAUCAGACUGUGCCUGCAGGCGACCCCUUGUGUCCGUGGGCGUCCGCAUGUGGCCAUGGCAGUGUGCAGGGAAAGCCGAGCGCCACUGAAUCGCUGACGUGGAUCUGGGUGGGGACAGGGAGGGUGACCGUGGGGAGAGCCUUUAGCUAGGGUCCUGUCCCUGUGCGCCGGGGACUGGAGUGUGGCAGUCGUGAGGCCGGCAGGCCCUGGUUCUGCGGCUUGGGGCUAUCUGUCUAAACACUCGCUUGUAAUCCACAGAGUCUGCUGGUGGCUGAGAGGCAGCUGUGUAGACAGUGACCAGCGGAAGAAGCGGCUGUGACCACGGAUCGCAAAGAUUCACAGAGAACCCCGGGGCUGCCACGCACCGAAGGGUCAUUUUCCAGGAGCCUCGCUGGGACUUGGCUGGAGUUCCUCGCGUGCUGACCCAACUCCCAGGGCCUGGAAGGAAGGCGGAUUCUGCGAGCGAGCUCUCCGGCGGCCGCUGCCGGCACGCCCACCCCCCGCCCCGCAGGCCUGGCGCGCCCCUCCUGAUUGUGCCUCCAUCCACCAGCCCGGCCCACCUUCCCACGCCACCGCGGCCUUGCUCUGCCCCUGAUCCAGUGUCACCCGACAUCCCGGCCACGCGGAAGGGACCCCCGGCCAUGCGGAGGCAGAUGGCACCCUCCCCCACCAGGGCUUUGGGGCGCGGCGGGGGCGUGAAAGGUGGGGUGUGGAAGGAGCCAGUGUGAGCGCUCUGCUCUGAUUUCUGGCUAAAGUGCUGAACUUAGCAGCCGAGAGCAUUAAAAAGGGAUUUUUAUUCCAUUUCUACUCUUCCUUCGCCGGUGCCCAGCUGACGUCUCUGGGGACGGAUUCUUGGCCCUGUCCCAGGAGCACUUUUCCAGAUGAUGUCCCCACCCCGGGUGGGGCUCCGGGG
rnacentral:lncRNA from 1 species